UUCGUUAAUAGACAUACCUAUUUCAAUAAGCAUAUUUUAUAAGCAAUGGUGCAGUGGUGUGCACGCUUCUAUGAUUGCUUCUAAUCGCACGACAUGCAUAUUAUCUACACUUCAAAGUCAAGCAACAACUGCCACUUCCUCUUCAUCAGUCCUAAUAAAAAACCCCAUUUCAUCAACUAAGAUAUCUACUCAAUAUAUCAUACUCUCUAUCAUAUAUGGCACCCAUCACCACCCUUGUCUCCUUCAUUCUCACUCAUUUUGGGUUUCUCUUGAGCCCUUGGACACCCGCAUUCCACAGUUUCGGGUAUGAAAAUCCUCCCGUUGGUGUCUUCCCUCCUCUCGUUGGUCUCUCCCCCUUGGCUUAUGGUUUUGCAACCAUCAUGUAAUCUCUUCUUCAGCUACCUGCAUUCUUGUUCGAGAUCCCAUAUCAAAUGUCCACCUGGGUAUGUUCAAGUUCAAGUUCAAGUUCAAGUUCGAAGAAGGCUAGUCUUUUGGUUUUGGAGCUGCGAUGGCAUGGUGUUUUGAACUUGUGAUUUAGGCAAAUAUCAAUUGCUUAGCAUGUAAAUGUAUUAUAUAUGCGUAGGAUUUGUUGUAUGCACCAUAUAUCCUUAUAUUUUCACAAAUUAAGCUAAUCGGUCUCCGUUGUCUGUAAUACAUUUCAGCCCAAGUUUUACUGUAGCAGUGUUGUUUAAUUUAACUUUGAAGAUAGUUGAUUCCAAGUUUGACAAUUGUGAGUUUAGAACGACUAUCUGCUUUAAGCAUAGAAGAGAAUGGAGUCGCCUAGAAGAAAAGCAAUUAACUACUACACACCCACCCUCUAGCAUAUGUCACAAUUCAUCACCCUCUAUUUUUUUUAAAAUAGGAGAUUUCCUAUUGAGAGGAGCGAUAAUAUAUUAAACUCACACACACUACACGGAUGUUAGGACUUGAAUCCAGAACCUUUCGUGAAUGAGCAAUUACUCCAAACUACUACACUAGUGGGUUAUUUGCCUUCACCCUCAAUCUUUAAUUGUGAGGAACAUAUGCAUUUAUCUAACAAACUAAAGUCAUUCC
rnacentral:lncRNA from 1 species